rnacentral:rRNA from 1 species
CGCGGGCGUCGAACGAAAAUCUAAAACGACUCUCGGCAACGGAUAUCUCGGCUCUCGCAUCGAUGAAGAACGUAGCAAACUGCGAUACAUGGUGUGAAUUGCAGAAUCCCGUGAACCAUCGAGUCUUUGAACGCAAGUUGCGCCCGAAGCCAUCAGGCCGAGGG